UACGGGGGGAGCAAGCGUUGUUCGGAUUUACUGGGCGUAAAGAGCGUGUAGGCGGCCAUACAGGUCAGCUGUGAAAACUCGAGGCUCAACCUCGAGACGUCGGUUGAAACCGUAUGGCUAGAGUCCGGAAGAGGAGAGUGGAAUUCCCGGUGUAGCGGUGAAAUGCGCAGAUAUCGGGAAGAACACCUAUGGCGAAGGCAGCUCUCUGGGACGGUACUGACGCUGAGACGCGAAAGCGUGGGGAGCGAACAGG
rnacentral:rRNA from 1 species